GACGAACGCUGGCGGCGUGCUUAACACAUGCAAGUCGAACGGAAAGUCCCUGCUUUUGUGGGGUGCUCUAGUUGCGAACGGGUGAGUAACCCGUGAGUAACCUGCCCUUGACUUUGGGAUAACUUCAGGAAACUUGGGCUAAUACCGGAUAGGAGCUCCUGCUGCAUGGUGGGGGUUGGAAAGUUUCGGCGGUUGGGGAUGGACUCGCGGCUCAUUAGCUUGUUGGUGGGGUAGUGGCUUACCAAGGCUUUGACGGGUAGCCGGGCUGAGAGGGGGACCGGCCACAUUGGGACUGAGAUGCGACCCGGACUACUACGGGAGGCAGCAGAGGAGAAUAUUGCACAAUGGGCGGAGGCAUGAUGCAGCAACGCCGCGUGCGGGAUGACGGCCAUCGGGUUGUAAAGCGCUUUCGCCUGUGACGAAGCGUGAGUGACGGUAAUGGGUAAAGAAGCACCGGCUAACUACGUG
rnacentral:rRNA from 1 species